CGGGACGGGGUGGAGUAAUGUCUGGGAAACGUGCCUGAUGGGGGGGGGUAACUACUGGAAACGGUAGCUAAUACCGCAUAACGUCGCAAGACCAAAGAGGGGGACCUUCGGGCCUCUUGCCAUCGGAUGUGCCCAGAUGGGAUUAGCUAGUAGGUGGGGUAACGGCUCACCUAGGCGACGAUCCCUAGCUGGUCUGAGAGGAUGACCAGCCACACUGGAACUGAGACACGGUCCAG
rnacentral:rRNA from 1 species